CGACAGGUGUGGGUAGAGCUUUAAAGUCUAAAAAGCUUACUCCGAGGUUUGUGGGUCCGUAUCAGAUUUUGAAGAGGGUUGGGGAAGUGGCGUAUCGGAUAGCUUUACCGCCGUCGCUUUCUAAUCUGCAUGACGUGUUUCAUGUAUCUCAGUUAAGAAAGUAUAUUGCGGAUCCGUCGCAUGUUGUUCAGUUGGAUGAUAUCCAGGUGAGGGAUAAUUUGACCGUUGAGGUGUUGCCAAUUCGGAUAGAUGACCGAGAAGAGAAGACCCUGAGAGGUAAGAAAAUUGCUCUAGUGAAAGUUGUUUGGGGAGGUCCAGCUGGUGAGAGCUUGACUUGGGAGCGUGAAGAUCAGAUGAAGGAGUCGUAUCCGGCUCUAUUUGCUUGAGGUAUGUUUUCGAGGACGAAAACUUCUAAAGUGGGGGAGAGUUGUAACACCCCGAUUAAAAUAAGAGAAUUAUUUAAUUGAGUUAAUAGUAUUUUAUUAAUUUAAUUAAAUAAAGUUGAAUUAUUGGAUUAUUAUUAUUAUUAUUAUUAUUAUAGAUAUUAUUUAUUUUAAUAAUAAUUAAAUAAAUAAUAUAAUUGGAAUAUGAAGAGUGGAAGGGUAAAAGUGGAAUUGGGUAAAAGAGGCCAAAGGAGAUAACUGAAGGUUUUCAUUUUCACGUAUUUUGCCUCAGAGUCAGAAAAGGGAGAAGCGCUGAAGAGAAAGAGAAGGAAGAGGAAAAGACCAAAGAUUGCUCAGAGCUUCCUUCAAUCCAAAGAGAUAAUGAGGAGUAGCUUUUGUUGAGGUGAAGAAUAAGUGUAGAGUUAUUCUACAGAGUCAAGUCAAUGCUCUGGUCAUGUGACACCGGGGUUAUGGGAUUCAAUAGAGAUUAUAUUAUUAUUUAAGUUGUGUAUGAAGACUAAAUUAUUGAUAUGUUUUGUUGAAACAUUUUUAUAAAUCGUUAAUUGUGUUGUUGUCCGCUGCGAGGUUUUAUUAAAAUAAAUGAAAUAUUUUUAUGUUGUAAAGUGAUGAGUGUUAAGUUGAAUGAAAUGUAAACUCUUCUACA